rnacentral:rRNA from 1 species
AGUGAACGCUGGCGGCAGGCUUAACACAUGCAAGUCGAACGGCAACACACUAAGAGCUUGUUCUUACGGGUGGCCGGGGGCGGAAGGGAGCGGAACGUACCCGAAUCUAGUUUUUAGUGGGGCUUAAGGUAGGGUAAUUUACGAUAUUAUCGGAUCAGCACAACGGGUGAACGCAGAGGAAUUUUUGGCCUUGCGCGUUUGGAUGCGCCGAUGUCGGAUUAGGUAGUUGGUGGGGUAAAGGCCCACCAAGGCGACGAUCCGUAGCUGGUCUGAGAGGAUGAUCAGCCACACUGGAACUGAGACACGGUCCAGACUCCUACGGGAGGCAGCAGUGGGGAAUGUUGGACAAUGGGCGCAAGCCUGGUCCAGCCAUACCGCGUGGGUGAAGAAGGCCUUCGGGUUGUAAAGCCCUUUUGUUGGGAAAGAAAAGCAGCAGGUUAAUACCUCGCGGUGCUGACGGUACCGAAAGAAUAAGCACCGGCUAACUACGUG